CAAAAACAAAUGUGACAUCAGAUGUACAGAGAUUUUAACUUCUUAAUUAAAGAAUUUCUAAAGAUCAGUCAACGUGAUGGGUCCUCGCUUCAAUUCUUCAAGUAUUGCUUGGAAGUAAAUUUGAAGAAUUUCUUAAUGGUCCCACUUACCAUCAAGCUCAUGGCUGGGGGCAGUCCAGACCUGAGUUGAGUGUCCCAUAGAUGGCUAUUACAGGUGUGAAAAUACCCUGAAAUCUAUCAUCUGGACAUCAAGGGAUGGACAUUCUUUGUAUACUAACCAUUGUCCACAUCAGCUGUUAUUUUCAUAAAAUUAUAUACAUAUAAAUCUGAAAAGUGUAAAAAUUCAUCAAAUAAUCAUUGCAUGUAUUUUUUCCAGCCUGGGGCAAUUAAAAAUUUUCCUGU